rnacentral:rRNA from 1 species
AGCAGCCGCGGUAAUUCCAGCUCCAAUAGCGUAUAUUAAAGUUGUUGCAGUUAAAAAGCUCGUAGUUGAAUUUCGGGAUCAAUAUGUAGGUCGUGCUUCGGUACGUACUUGCAUCAUUGAUUUCUCCCUUCUGAUGAACCAUGAUGCCAUUAAUUUGGUGUUAUGGGGAAUCAGGACUGUUACUUUGAAAAAAUUAGAGUGUUUAAAGCAGGCUAACGCUUGAAUACAUUAGCAUGGAAUAACGAGAUAGGACGUUCGAUCCUAUUUUGUUGGUUUCUAGGAUUGACGUAAUGAUUAAUAGGGAUAGUUGGGGGCAUUAGUAUUCAAUUGUCAGAGGUGAAAUUCUUGGAUUUAUUGAAGACUAACUACUGCGAAAGCAUUUGCCAAGGAUGUCUUCAUUAAUCAAGAACGAAAGUUA